rnacentral:lncRNA from 1 species
AUGAUUGAUUGGCAAAUUGUUGUUAUUUUACAUGAAUUGGAGUUGUUUUACUUUUGACUUUAGCUGUUCAAUUUCAGUAGAUUUGAAUAUUAAGCAAUAGUGUAGGUUUAGCUCUUUAAGCAGUUUAGAGAAUUAUAGCAAAUGCUAUGUCGGUUUCAGUUCUUUACUUUCAGUUAGAGCACAUGUAACCAAUGUUCAGUGGCGGAACCCGAACUUGUUUUUAUUAGGCGUCAUCAUAAGGGUCCAGAUCAUGUCAAACCUGAAAGUACAAGUGUAGUUAAUAUUCUCCCUGAGUUUAUUCAAAUCUUUCACGUUCGGGUUAAACUGGCACCACUUUUUCUCUUGGUACCGCACGUUUUGGGCCGGUACCAAAAACGAGUUCUGACCUCGUCCUGAUAUAUCCAUAGCAAACUUGGGCUGCCUGUCAUAUCGAAAAAUCCCACAAUGCCAUUCGAAGUUGACCGGGGCAAUGCUCUUGGCAUCCUCAUCAAUAAGCCCGAAAAGGUACACUUCUAUCGGGCCGGGCCGAAGUGAUGUCCCUUUGUUUGAAGCAAGGCGGGGUAAAAGCCCGUUGUAGAACCGAUACGCCAUGUUAACGUUCGCAUUUUUAUCCCCGUCGGACGGCCACCCGACCUCCCCUCCAAUAAUCGGCAUGUCACCGUAGCCCGCAGCCUUUAAUGCGGACACUAAAAAAUUGUAAUUAGCGUUGAAAACGUUCGUGUAUUGGAUCCCGUCAUCGACAACGGGCUGUGGUGCACCGUCAAAGAAGGUGAAAUCAAUAGGAAAGUUAUCAUUCCCAUAGAGACUUAAAAAAGGGUAUAUGUUGACUGUGAAGGGUGUCAUCAUAAUUGGUCAGUAGGUCUGUUUGUCUGCUAAUCUUGACCAUAUUCUGCA